UGAGGGUUGAUAGGUUAAGAGCUGAUUGAUUGGACGUUACCUACAGAAGAAGCACCGGCCAACUCCGUGCCAGCAGCCGCGGUAAUACGGAGGGUGCGAGCGUUAAUCGAAUUACUGGGCGUAAAGGGUGCGUAGGUGGUUAGAUAAGUUAGCUGUGAAAUCCCCGGGCUCAACCUGGGCAGGUCAGCUAAGACUGUUUGACUCGAGUAUGGGAGAGGGUAGUGAAUUUCCGGUGUAGCGGUGAAAUGCGUAGAGAUCGAAGGAACACCAGUGGCGAAGGCGGCUACCUGGCCUAAUACUGACACUGAGGCACGAAAGCGUGGGGAGCAAACAGGAUUAGAUACCCUGGUAGUCCACGCCGUAAACGAUGUCAACUAGUUGUUGGCCUUAUAAUGAGGCUAGUGACGAAGCAAACGCGAUAAGUUGAC
rnacentral:rRNA from 1 species